GCGGUUAUCGGAGCUUCUCCGGCGACGGCGAAACGCUCUGGGCCCCACGAGAACACAUCUGGCCGGCGCCCCCUUAAAAGCCGGCCACGUGACGGCGGACCGCCGCCCUCUUGGCCCGCCGGAUCAGACGCUCCCGACGCCCCAUCGGGAGCGUCUUUU
rnacentral:sRNA from 1 species